ensembl:snRNA U4 U4 spliceosomal RNA
AUCUUAAUCACUAACCUACCUGCUUUAUCCAAGGCGUGAUUAUUGCUGGUUGAAAACUUUACCCAAUACCCCGCCAGGAUGACUUGAAAUACAGUCAGCCAUGGCAAUUUUUGAUAGUCUCUAUCGAGA